rnacentral:rRNA from 1 species
GGGAUGGUCAGCCACACUGGGACUGAGACACUGCCCAGACUCCUACGGGAGGCUGCAGUCGAGAAUAUUUAGCAAUGGGCGAAAGCCUGACUAUGCGACGCCGCGUGAAGGAUGAAGGGUUUCGGCUCGUAAACUUCUUUUGUUAGGAAAGAAAAUUUUAAGUCUAACAGGCUUAAAACUGACGGUACCUGACGAAUAAGCCACGGCCAACUCCGUGCCAGCAGCCGCGGUAAUACGGAGGUGGCAAGCGUUACUCGGAAUUAUUGGGUGUAAAGGGCAAGUAGGUGGUUUGUUAAGUGAGGGGUGAAAUCUUCCGGCUCAAUCGGAAAAUUGCCUUUCAAACUGACAGACUCGAGGUAGGAAGAGGGAAAUGGAAUUCCAGGUGUAAGGGUGAAAUCUGUAGAUAUCUGGAAGAACACCAGCGGCGAAGGCGAUUUCCUGGUCCUAUCCUGACGCUAAAUUGCGAAAACUAGGGGAGCAAACAGAAUUAGAUACUCUGGUAGUCCUAGCCGUAAACGAUGAGUACUAGGUGUUGGGGUCUUAGACCUCAGUGCCGCAGCUAACGCAUUAAGUACUCCACCUGGGGACUACGAUCGCAAGGUUAAAACUCAAAGGAAUUGACGGGGGCCCGCACAAGCGGUGGAACAUGUGGUUUAAUUCGAUGAUACGCGAAAAACCUCACCAAGGCUUGACAUGUAGGAAGUAGUGAACUGAAAGGGGAACGAGUCGUCAAGUCCGACAACCUACACAGGUGCUGCAUGGCUGUCGUCAGCUCGUGUCGUGAGAUGAUGGGUUAAGUCCCGCAACGAGCGCAACCAUUUUCCCAUGUUGCCACUUCGUUUAUCAUUUUGGUAAACGAAAGCACUCUUGGGGUACUGCCUGGGAUAACCAGGAGGAAGGUGGAGAUGACGUCAAGUCAGUACGGCCCUUAUGCCUUGGGCUACACACGUGUUACAAUGGCUGAUACAAAGGGUUGCCAACCCGCGAGGGGGAGCUAAUCUCUAAAAAUCAGCCCCAGUUCAGAUAGGAGUCUGCAAUUCGACUUCUUGAAGCCGGAAUCGCUAGUAAUGGGAGAUCAGCACGCUCCCGUGAAUACGUUCCCGGGCCUUGUACACACCGCCCGUCAAGCGAUGGGAGCUGGGGGUACCCGAAGUCCUAUGUAGAUAGGCCGAAGGUAAAUCCGGUGACUGGCGCUAAGUCGUAACAAAGUA